rnacentral:tRNA from 1 species
UCCCAGGUGGCUUAGUGGUAAAGAAUCUGCCUGCAAUGCAGGAGACGAGGAGAUGGGAGUUCGAUCCCUGGGUC